rnacentral:rRNA from 1 species
GCUUGUCUCAAAGAUUAAGCCAUGCAUGUCUUAGUGUAAAUAACUCUUAUGAAACUGCGAAUGGCUCAUUAAAUCAGUUAUCAAAUACGUGAUGGUCGCCUACUACAUGGAUAACCGUAGUAAUUCUAGAGUAUGGAUGAGUCCGCUCUAUUCAGGAGGGUUUUCCCUCUGUUGACCAUCGAGUUCGAGGGUUGAAUACUUAGGCUUCGGCUUCUGUUGAAAGCUUUAUCGGUGGCCGGGAAGAUAUGUUUCUAAUCUAUUAGCCAGACUAUUGGGUAAGGUCCAAUUUUCGGCUAUAAUGGAUACAGGGGAUCGGUGUCCGACUCUGGAGAGAGAGCCUGAGAAACGGCUAUCACAUCUAAGGAAGGCAGCAGG